AGCAAGAGAUGAAUGCUGUGUGCAUCACGAUUUUAAAACUGUAUUUUAUUUCCUGCGAGUAAGAAAGUUGUACAUUGACUGAGAAUAAUUGUUUGUCGGAAGAAGAUGAAAGCUUGUGUUUAUAUAAUAUGUGAGAACAGAGAGAAAAGUGUAUAUAUAUAAACAGAAGAGAAGAAGAUUGAAGAGGAAGGUAUAUAUAUAUAUAUAUAUAUAAAUGGAGAGUACUCGAAGAAACGAUCUAGGACACAAAAAGUGGUAAUUGAAUAUGAAAGAGAUAAAAAUACGAAAUUAAGCUCAAGGGGAUGAUAAUAAUCUCACAACAAAAGGAGAGAAAUUGUAUAAUUAUAGUUUCACAACAAGAAGCAAUUCAACUUCCAAACGGUAAUAAUGAAGAAUUUGCUAAAGUAAUUUUUUUCACUGAUACACAUGCAAAGCUUCGUUGGAAAAAAAGGCAUUAUUGAUCAUUAUUCAAUUUACGCACGCGAAAUAAAUCUUGGAAAACGUAUAUUAUGCGCUUUGACUGUUGUCUUAGAAGAAACUAAUAAAUUCAUUGUCAGUGGUCUCACUCCUGGUGGGAAAUAUAAAUUUGAAAUUGAGCCCGUGAGCUAUGAUAAUAAGAAUUAUUCUUCUCUUUAUACCAAUGAAAUCGUCACUGAUAAUCCAACAGCCAAGCCUAAUGGUCUCAAAGGAUUAAUUAAGGUGUUGAAUUUUACGAAUACAACAGUCACCUUGAGAUGGCGUAAACCUGAGAAUAGUCCAAAAACAGUGAAAUAGGUAUUAACACCAUUUUUAUCAGUAAAGGAUAAAUCAAUUUUAAAGUCUCGACAUAGAAUAUUAUAUGAUUCCUCUGAAUAUCCAAUAUUUACAUACACUGGCCUGCUAUAUCCAUCACUUGAUGCUUAUGCGAUAAUGGUUCAGGCUGUCAAUAGUAAAGGAUCUGGUCAAGGAAUCACAAUAUCUCAAAUUCGCACUAAAAAGAAAAGGAGCAACAACCAGGGUCGGUUGUAAGAGUAAUACUUUGCGGAUGCUGGUACUGGAGAGAGAAUGAAAGUUAAAUUUAAAGAAUAAAAUGGUAAAAUUUAAAAAUAUUUUAGUAAAAGAAAAA